CACACACACACACACACACACACACAUACAGGAGGCAGUGAGGAGUAGAAGGAGGUUGUUGCUACGCCUGCGUCGCGAAACCAGGGCUCAUUGUGUGUGCGCCCGGAGCAGCUACGGGGGAAACACAUGGGACAACCGACCAGUUUGGGGCCAUGGUUUAUUCAACGUGUAUUUUCAGUGUGGUUUAACUUGCUAAUCUGAUCUGAAAUACUUUCCUUGAAUGUGCCUUAAUUUCACCUCUUUUUUCUUUCUUCUUUUCUUAGCUUACUGAAAAUGUUGGCGACCAAAGGCCGGAUCCAGGGAUGUGUGCUGCUUGUGCUACUGGCGUUAUGUGGGCAAACUGCUCGCUGUCAACAUCGAUACAAAGGCUCUGCGACCCGUGAAGAACUGAGACUCCUUCUGGUCGGUAAAACAGGAUCGGGAAAGAGUGCAUCCGGAAACACCAUCCUGGGGGAUGCGAACGCUUUCAAAGAAGACGUUUCGCCUGAGUCUGUCACCGACGGCUGUCUCAGAAAAGAGGCAGAGGGCGAAGACGGAAGAAAUAUCGCUGUGAUCGACACUCUGGGGCUGUCUUUUGGAUGAAAUAGAUGAAAUGGUGGAUUUCAAUGGAGGAAACCACUACACCAACGAGAUGUAUAAGGCGGCCCAGAAGAAACUCGAAGGAGAAAGGCUGAAGAGGAGAAAGGAGGAAGAACAAAGAAAAAGGGAAGAAGAGGAGAGGAUCGAAUUGAAGGAGCGGUGUAAAUUCUUCCGCCUCGCUUCCCUGGGAUUAUUUGGCACAGGAGCGUACUUUACAUCUUAUGUUCUCAUGGGGCUCGGUGGAGCCCUUGGAUAUUCUCAGUUAAAGACGCCGAGCUUGACGGUUGGGCGUCUUCUUUACUCGUCGAUACCGUGAAAACUGCGUAGGUGUAUCACCUACUCGACCUAGUGAUCAACGAGUACCGCACCGAAGCAUGCAACGGGUGCAAGACCAAUCACCCCAGCCAGAGACAACACGAGUGUCUGCGAGUCUUGGUGUCAGGGUCCCUGUGCCUACCCGGUCGGCUCAGUAUGGCUACAUAUGUUUUUCAUUUUGUUCCUGCUCUCUCCCUUCCUCUCUUUCCCUCCUCCCUCUGCCAGGGCGGAGCUCACCUGUGGGCUUCUGCCCUUGGUCCACGCACCUGGUCGCCAUCACGCACCUGUGGCUCGUUACGAGAGUGUUCCAGCUCCUUUAUAAGACGGCAGCUCUGUGUUUCUCGUCGCUGGACCGUUGCCGACCCGCAUUCCCUGGACCAACCCCUGUGUUUCCUGAGUGAUUGAGUGUGCGAGGAGUGGACGGAGUGCGUGUGGACUUUCAGCAUCUUUUCCCUUUGUGUGUGGACCCCCGGAGCCCGGCUUCCCCCUCACCUCUGUAAAUAGAUCACCUGGUGUGCUGUAAUAAAGAUUCUUGUGUUUCCCAACUCAGAGCCUGCGCGUGUGUCCGUUCCAUCCCGCUGUGACACUUGGAGGAUGACUUUUACGCUGAACAUUAUUACAGCAUCAGGAAAAGACUCCUCACGCCGCGUUUCAUUCCUUCCAUUCAACGUCUCCUGAUCAUGUAUUCACAGCCACCGAAGGCGCUGUACAGCACCGAGCACCUGAAACACGGACAGUUUGUUGAUAUUGUAAUCAAAAAUA